CAGACACAGAGGAGAAAGAGAAGAGGCCAUCUGGACUGGGUCACACUGUAGCAGCGACCACACGGGAAGCAGCCAGAACUCCUCUUCAAACCAUAAUAACCGUCAGAGUGGGAAGAAAUAACGACGGCGGAGCUCGGAGAAUUCCCCACCAUGGACGGGAUCCCCCAGUGAACACCUCUCUGUGUCCCUUCCUUCCUCAGCCAUCUGUCCAUCCAUCAGCAGGGCACCUCAGAUGGAUCCUCCUCCCAGGAAGAACAUUAGAAGACUAUUCCUCCCGGCUAUUUAGAUAAAUCGGUCCAUCAUCAGGAGCAUGUGUCAGUGAGAGAUGCAGGGGGUGCUGGAGGGAAUCGUCAGACAGUAGAUAAAAGGCAGCAGAUCAUCCAGAGUGGACAGACUGGAGAUGAUGAACAACUGUAGAGAUCAUGUUUAUAUCAUGCUUCUAAGGGAGAUGACAGGUACUCUGUCUCACAUAUUGCUAAAUACAAACAAAAAUACAAGAUUCUUCCUGAUUCCUACCCAAGACAAUGAUUUUGGCUUUUUGGCUAUAUAUGAGUCCCAGCCACGUAAAACACUAUAAAAGUAUGAAUGUGAUUGGUGUGCAGUGCAUAAUGAUUCACAUUAAAUAAAUGUCCCCUUG